UAAAUAUCUCAUAAUUACAGAUCAAGGAUGCUAUGAUUAUCUUCAACAGUCUACACCAUCAAAAAUCAUUGAGAAGAAAACACCAGCUUCUGAAAGAGAAUCCAACAACAGUGCAUUGAUUGGCCUCCUGUGCUUUUUAGUGAUGACAACUCUUCUACUGCCCAUUAUUAUAGUCUUGGUAUUUAAAAGAAAAAAGUUUUUUGACUGGUGCAGAUCUAGACGGAAGGACACUGAGAAAUGUAAUGAUCAUACGCUGGAACCCGCCGAAGAAGACAAAGAAGGAAAUACUGCAACGAAAGGAACUCCUCACAGAGCUGUUACAAUAGAAGAGGAAACAAAAGAGGAAACAAAAGAAGCAUAUC